UGAAUGAAACUUAUACACGUAUAAACAAGCCAAAAUAGCGGUUUCAAUGAUGAACGUAUUUUUAAUUUCUGUAUAUUGACACAAAUAUGCAUAUUUAAGUGAAUUAAAUGUAUUAUCACCAAAUGACUUUUAUGCACGUUUGUUUUGUUAUAGCACUCAUUAGUGCUUAUCAAGUUAGGGGUGACGAAAACACUUUAAAGUGUUACUACUGUGAUGACAAAUGUGAUUACCCUUUAGAAGAAACAACUUGUUGCUCUAAUGGUCGUGAUGGUGAAACGUUUAGCUGUAUAUCAUCAUUUACCAUAAUUGAGGGUACGCCCAUCGAACAAAAAGGUUGCAUUUCGAAUGACAAUAGUGAUGCUAUAUGGGCCUGUGAACAACUCAACGGGUUGCAAUAUAGUUCAUGUGUUAUUUGUAGUGACGAUUUUUGUAACUUUAGUACAAAUAUAAAAAAUUCAGUGCCUACUAUGUUAGGUUUAACAUAAAA